rnacentral:rRNA from 1 species
GACGAACGCUGGCGGUGUGCUUAACACAUGCAAGUCGAACGGUAAGGCCCUUUCGGGGGUCCACGAGUGGCGAACGGGUGAGUAACACGUGAGUAACCUGCCCUCAUCUCUGGGAUAACAGUCGGAAACGGUUGCUAAUACUGGAUAUGAGCUUGCAAGGCAUCUUGUGGGUUGGAAAGAUUUUUUUUGGUUGGGGAUGGACUCGCGGCCUAUCAGCUUGUUGGUGAGGUAGUGGCUCACCAAGGCUUCGACGGGUAGCCGGCCUGAGAGGGCGACCGGCCACAUUGGGACUGAGAUACGGCCCAAACUCCUACGGGAGGCAGCAGUGGGGAAUAUUGCACAAUGGACGGAAGUCUGAUGCAGCAACGCCGCGUGCGGGAUGACGGCCUUCGGGUUGUAAACCGCUUUCAAUUGUGACGAAGCUUUUUUGUGACGGUGGCAGUAGAAGAAGCACCGGCUAACUACGUG